rnacentral:rRNA from 1 species
ACGAACGCUGGCGGCAGGCCUCACACAUGCAAGUCGAGCGAGCAUUUCGGUGCUAGCGGCGGACGGGUGAGUCACGCGUGGGAACGUGCCCUUUUCUGCGGAAUAGUCCUGGGAAACUGGGGGUAAUACCGCAUACGCCCUUUUGGGGAAAGAUUUAUCGGAGAAGGAUCGGCCCGCGUUGGAUUAGGUAGUUGGUGGGGUAAUGGCCCACCAAGCCGACGAUCCAUAGCUGGUUUGAGAGGAUGAUCAGCCACACUGGGACUGAGACACGGCCCAGACUCCUACGGGAGGCAGCAGUGGGGAAUCUUAGACAAUGGGGGCAACCCUGAUCUAGCCAUGCCGCGUGAGUGAUGAAGGCCUUAGGGUUGUAAAGCUCUUUCAGCUGGGAAGAUAAUGACGGUACCAGCAGAAGAAGCCCCGGCUAACUCCGUG